UACGGGGGGAGCAAGCGUUGUUCGGAUUUACUGGGCGUAAAGGGCGCGUAGGCGGUCAGCACAAGUCAGUUGUGAAAUCUCCGGGCUUAACUCGGAAAGGUCAACUGAUACUGUGCGACUAGAGUGCGGAAGGGGCAACUGGAAUUCUCGGUGUAGCGGUGAAAUGUGUAGAUAUCGGGAAGAACACCCGUGGCUAAGGCGGCUCUCUAGUACGGUACUGACGCUGAGACGCGAAAGCGUGGGGAGCGAACAGG
rnacentral:rRNA from 1 species